rnacentral:rRNA from 1 species
GACGAACGCUGGCGGCGUGCUUAACACAUGCAAGUCGAACGGAAAGGCCCUGCUUUUGUGGGGUGCUCGAGUGGCGAACGGGUGAGUAACACGUGAGUAACCUGCCCUUGACUUUGGGAUAACUUCAGGAAACUGGGGCUAAUACCGGAUAGGAGCUCCUGCUGCAUGGUGGGGGUUGGAAAGUUUCGGCGGUUGGGGAUGUACUCGCGGCUUAUCAGCUUGUUGGUGGGGUAGUGGCUUACCAAGGCUUUGACGGGUAGCCGGCCUGAGAGGGUGACCGGCCACAUUGGGACUGAGGUGCGGCCCAGACUCCUACGGGAGGCAGCAGUGGGGAAUAUUGCACAAUGGGCGGAAGCCUGAUGCAGCAACGCCGCGUGCGGGAUGACGGCCUUCGGGUUGUAAACCGCUUUCGCCUGUGACGAAGCGUGAGUGACGGUAAUGGGUAAAGAAGCACCGGCUAACUACGUG